rnacentral:rRNA from 1 species
UACGGGGGGGGCAAGCGUUGUUCGGAAUUACUGGGCGUAAAGGGCUCGUAGGCGGCCAACUAAGUCAGACGUGAAAUCCCCAGGCUCAACCUGGGAACUGCGUCUGAUACUGGAUGGCUUGAAUCCGGGAGAGGGAUGCAGAAUUCCAGGUGUAGCGGUGAAAUGCGUAGAUAUCUGGAGGAACACCGGUGGCGAAGGCGGCGUUCUGGACUGCAACUGACACUGAGGAACGAAAGCCAGGGGAGCAAACGGG